GUGACAGGUGAAAAAGAGAUCUCUUCAAUGAGACGCCGAAGGUGUAAGCUUAACUCGCGAAACUCUCAGGCAAAAAGGAUUUCACCUCGACG
rnacentral:ncRNA from 2 species